rnacentral:rRNA from 1 species
UACGUAGGGGGCAAGCGUUAUCCGGAUUUACUGGGUGUAAAGGGAGCGUAGACGGCUAAUCAAGUCAGAAGUGAAAACCCAGGGCUCAACCUUGGGACUGCUUUUGAAACUGAGUAGCUAGAGUGCAGGAGAGGUAAGCGGAAUUCCUAGUGUAGCGGUGAAAUGCGUAGAUAUCAGGAGGAAUACCGUUAGCGAAGGCGGCAAUCUGGCUGGAAACUGACGCUGAGGUGCGAAAGCGUGGGUAGCAAACAGG